GACGAACGCUGGCGGCGUGCUUAACACAUGCAAGUCGAACGGUAAGGCCCUUCGGGGUACACGAGUGGCGAACGGGUGAGUAACACGUGGGUGAUCUGCCCUGCACUUUGGGAUAAGCCUGGGAAACUGGGUCUAAUACCGGAUUGGACCACGCGCUUCACGGUGUGUGGUGGAAAGCUUUUGCGGUGUGGGAUGGACCCGCGGCCUAUCAGCUUGUUGGUGGGGUAAUGGCCUACCAAGGCGACGACGGGUAGCCGGCCUGAGAGGGUGACCGGCCACACUGGGACUGAGAUACGGCCCAGACUCCUACGGGAGGCAGCAGUGGGGAAUAUUGCACAAUGGGCGCAAGCCUGAUGCAGCGACGCCGCGUGAGGGAUGACGGCCUUCGGGUUGUAAACCUCUUUCAGUAGGGACGAAGCGCAAGUGACGGUACCUACAGAAGAAGGACCGGCCAACUACGUGCCAGCCGCCGCCGUAA
rnacentral:rRNA from 1 species